rnacentral:misc_RNA from 1 species
AGAUUGUGCUUCUUACAUACACAGAGUUGGCCGCACUGCUCGUUACCUUUCAGGCGGAAGAUCUGUUUUAUUCGUGAUGCCAUCUGAAAUGAAGAUGCUUGAAAAGUUGGAAGAGAAAAAGAUUCCCCUUCGAGUUAUCAAGGCAAAUGAAAAGAGGAUACAGUCUGUCUCGGGUAUACUUGCUUCUUUAUUGGUCAAGUACCCUGAUCUACAACAUCUGGCUCAAAGGGCUUUCAUAACAUAUUUGAAGUCCAUACACAAACAGAGAGAUAAGGAGAUUUUUGAUGUUACAAAACUUCCUAUUGAUGAAUUCUCUGCUUCAUUGGGUCUUCCUAUGACCCCAAAGAUCCGAUUUCUGAAACAGAAACUCAAAGGGAAGACAGUGUCUGAAGCAUUAUCUCUCAUACCAGAGAACACAAGCGAUGAUAAUUUGUUGGAAUUUCCAAUUAAGGAUCCAGAAUUUCCUAUUAAGGAUCCAGAUGCAGGCAAAUCAGAUAUAGAGGAAGUGGAUGAAGACAUCUUUCUAGCUAAGGAGACACAAGAACGCGGAGAAAAUAUUAACAGCAAAGGAGAUGAUAUGCUGGCCACU